AUUGAACGCUGGCGGCAUGCCUUACACAUGCAAGUCGAACGGUAACAGGUCUUCGGAUGCUGACGAGUGGCGAACGGGUGAGUAAUACAUCAGAACGUGCCCGAGAGUGGGGGAUAACGAAGCGAAAGCUUUGCUAAUACCGCAUACGAUCUCAGGAUGAAAGCAGGGGGACCGCAAGGCCUUGCGCUCACGGAGCGGCCGAUGGCAGAUUAGGUAGUUGGUGGGAUAAAAGCUUACCAAGCCGACGAUCUGUAGCUGGUCUGAGGGGACGACCAGCCACACUGGGACUGAGACACGGCCCAG
rnacentral:rRNA from 1 species